AACAGGAUUAGAUACCCUGGUAGUCCACGCCCUAAACGAUGUCUACUAGUUGUCGGGUUUUAAUUAACUUGGUAACGCAGCUAACGCGUGAAGUAGACCGCCUGGGGAGUACGGUCGCAAGAUUAAAACUCAAAGGAAUUGACGGGGACCCGCACAAGCGGUGGAUGAUGUGGAUUAAUUCGAUGCAACGCGAAAAACCUUACCUAUCCUUGACAUGUACGGAAGACCGAAGAGAAUUGGUUGUGCUCGAAAGAGAACCGUAACACAGGUGCUGCAUGGCUGUCGUCAGCUCGUGUCGUGAGAUGUUGGGUUAAGUCCCGCAACGAGCGCAACCCUUGUCAUUAGUUGCUACAUUUAGUUGAGCACUCUAAUGAGACUGCCGGUGACAAACCGGAGGAAGGUGGGGAUGACGUCAAGUCCUCAUGGCCCUUAUGGGUAGGGCUUCACACGUCAUACAAUGGUACAUACAGAGGGCCGCCAACCCGCGAGGGGGAGCUAAUCCCAGAAAGUGUAUCGUAGUCCGGAUCGCAGUCUGCAACUCGACUGCGUGAAGUUGGAAUCGCUAGUAAUCGCGGAUCAGCAUGUCGCGGUGAAUACGUUCCCGGGUCUUGUACACACCGCCCGUCACACCAUGGGAGCGGGUUUUACCAGAAGUAGGUAGCUUAACCGUAAGGAGGGCGCUUACCACGGUAGGAUUCGUGACUGGGGUGAAGUCGUAACAAGGUAACC
rnacentral:rRNA from 1 species